rnacentral:rRNA from 1 species
UAGUGGCGAACGGGUGAGUAACACGUGGGCAAUCUGCCCUUCACUCUGGGACAAGCCCUGGAAACGGGGUCUAAUACCGGAUAACACUCUGUCCCGCAUGGGACGGGGUUGAAAGCUCCGGCGGUGAAGGAUGAGCCCGCGGCCUAUCAGCUUGUUGGUGGGGUGAUGGCCUACCAAGGCGACGACGGGUAGCCGGCCUGAGAGGGCGACCGGCCACACUGGGACUGAGACACGGCCCAGACUCCUACGGGAGGCAGCAGUGGGGAAUAUUGCACAAUGGGCGAAAGCCUGAUGCAGCGACGCCGCGUGAGGGAUGACGGCCUUCGGGUUGUAAACCUCUUUCAGCAGGGAAGAAGCGAGAGUGACGGUACCUGCAGAAGAAGCGCCGGCUAACUACGUGCCAGCAGCCGCGGUAAUACGUAGGGCGCAAGCGUUGUCCGGAAUUAUUGGGCGUAAAGAGCUCGUAGGCGGCUUGUUGCGUCGGUUGUGAAAGCCCGGGGCUUAACCCCGGGUCUGCAGUCGAUACGGGGCAGGCUAGAGUGUGGUAGGGGAGAUCGGAAUUCCU